AAGGUUGACCUCGGAUCAGGUAGGGAUACCCGCUGAACUUAAGCAUAUCAAUAAGCGGAGGAAAAGAAACCAACAGGGAUUGCCUUAGUAACGGCGAGUGAAGCGGCAACAGCUCAAAUUUGAAAGCUGGCUCCUUCGGAGUCCGCGUUGUAAUUUGUAGAGGAUGAUUCGGCGAGGGCUCCCGCCUAAGUCCCCUGGAACGGGGCGUCAUAGAGGGUGAGAAUCCCGUAUGCGGUGGGUUGCCUUAGCCAUGUGAAUCUCCUUCGACGAGUCGAGUUGUUUGGGAAUGCAGCUCUAAAUGGGAGGUAAAUUUCUUCUAAAGCUAAAUACCGGCCAGAGACCGAUAGCGCACAAGUAGAGUGAUCGAAAGAUGAAAAGCACUUUGGAAAGAGAGUUAAAAAGUACGUGAAAUUGUUGAAAGGGAAGCGCUUGCAGCCAGACUUGUCCGCAGUUGCUCAACCGGGUCUCCUGACCGGUGUACUCUUCUGCGGCCAGGCCAGCAUCAGUUCGGGCGGUCGGAUAAAGGCCCUGGGAAUGUAGCUCCUCUCGGGGAGUGUUAUAGCCCAGGGUGGAAUGCGGCCAGCCUGGACUGAGGAUCUCGCUUCGGCUAGGAUGCUGGCGUAAUGGCUGUAAGCGGCCCGUCUUGAAACACGGACCAAGGAGUCUAACAUCUAUGCGAGUGUUUGGGUGUCAAACCCAUGCGCGUAAUGAAAGUGAACGGAGGUGGGAACCCUCACGGGUGCACCAUCGACCGAUCCUGAUGUCUUCGGAUGGAUUUGAGUAAGAGCAUAGCUGUUGGGACCCGAAAGAUGGUGAACUAUGCCUGAAUAGGGUGAAGCCAGAGGAAACUCUGGUGGAGGCUCGCAGCGGUUCUGACGUGCAAAUCGAUCGUCAAAUUUGGGUAUAGGGGCGAAAGACAAUCGAACC
rnacentral:rRNA from 1 species